AGCAGUAUGGUGUAAUACCGCACACAGGAGUCUAUUAACUGAUGGGCAGGGUUGAAUUAAUCCUGAGGUCCUUGUUCGAACCAAGGUACUGCUC